rnacentral:rRNA from 1 species
AACGAACGCUAGCGGCAGGCUUAACACAUGCAAGUCGAGCGCCCCGCAAGGGGAGCGGCAGACGGGUGAGUAACGCGUGGGAAUCUACCCAUCUCUACGGAAUAACGCAUGGAAACGUGUGCUAAUACCGUAUACGUCCUUCGGGAGAAAGAUUUAUCGGAGAUGGAUGAGCCCGCGUUGGAUUAGCUAGUUGGUGGGGUAAAGGCCUACCAAGGCGACGAUCCAUAGCUGGUCUGAGAGGAUGAUCAGCCACACUGGGACUGAGACACGGCCCAGACUCCUACGGGAGGCAGCAGUGGGGAAUAUUGGACAAUGGGCGCAAGCCUGAUCCAGCCAUGCCGCGUGAGUGAUGAAGGCCCUAGGGUUGUAAAGCUCUUUCACCGGUGAAGAUAAUGACGGUAACCGAAGAAGAAGCCCCGGCUAACUUCGUGCCAGCAGCCGCCGUAAGAC